UACGUAGGGGGCAAGCGUUGUCCGGAAUCAUUGGGCGUAAAGCGCGCGUAGGCGGCCCGGUAAGUCCGUUGUGAAAGUCAAAGGCUCAACCUUUGAAAGCCGGUGGAUACUGUGAGGCUAGAGUACGGAAGAGGCGAGUGGAAUUCCAGGUGUAGCGGUGAAAUGCGUAGAUAUCUGGAGGAACACCGGUGGCGAAGGCGGCAUCCUGGACCAACACUGACGCUGAGGAGCGAAAGCCAGGGGAGCAAACGGG
rnacentral:rRNA from 1 species